UUACUUUCCUGACAGGGAAGACAUGAUAACAGUGGUGGUUUUCUCAGGACAAGGUUCACCCAUUGCACUAGGAGUGUGCUGACUGAGCCCUGUGGUUUCCACAAAUGUGGGAAACUCGGUUGCAUAAUUUGUGUUAGAGGAGGACUGUAUCCACACUCUCCUCUA